CUCCACACUGACCAUCAGCUGCCUGUCUUCAUUUUCAUUCAUUCUUCAUUUUCAUUCAUUCUUCAUUUUCAGAACUAGUCACUGCUCCGUCCCAUCAGGAGGGAAAAACUGACUCCCACAUCCCAUAACACUACCUCCACUUGUCUGAAGCAUUUCUAAAGAUCCUCUCUGGUGGUGCAAAGCUUAGACAUCCUAACAUGAGCUCCAAUGAAAUGAAUGCCUUCUUUAUUCCUGAGAGUAGUGAGGCGGGAAUAAUACAGCAAGAAACUGGACAAUAUCUCUGCUUUCUUAUUAAUUCACAGUGAAAACUUGGAUAGCAACAAUUUAUCAUGUGUUUCCCUGGUAACUACAACAUCGUGAACCUUCCUUGAAAACUCCAUUGGGAUUCCUGCAAUGUUUGUGAGCAUAAUGAAUGAAGCUAUUAUCUAUCUCCAAUGUCACAUGUGAAUGUUCCCUGUGGCUGCAAGAGGAGAGGAGACAUUUCUGGCUAAUUCUGAGGCUGCCUAGAGUUGUGACAAGUGUUUUCUGAGGUUCAGCCUUACCCAGAGAUGCAAGUGGUGCUAUCUCCUCUUUCUAAACAUGUUUCUGGUAAAGAACUUAAAACCUAAGACCAAAAUCUGCCUUCUGUCUUCUGGAGACUGACUGAGUUAUGGAUUUAGAAAUAGUCUAAAUAGUCUAAUAGAGUCUAAAUAGGUUAAGAUUUGUGAGCUUCAGAAUAACACAUCCCAGUGUAUUGAUUUAUUUUAUUUUGUACAGAGGGCAUUUUGUACCUGUUUGUUUUGGCUGUGGUGGCAGCCCUGUCCACAGCUAGUGUUGGAAAUGGGGUUAGU
rnacentral:lncRNA from 1 species